CCGCAAUCUAUCGAAUUACGAACCCUCCGACUUACGAACUCUAGUUGUGUUGAUGCAAUCUAAACUCCAAAGCCCUAGCCAAAACUCUUCAAAGUCUCAACGCCUGUUCAUCCUAGUUAUUAAACCAAGCACGUCAACGCGGGCACUUAGGCUAUGUUUGGGGGGGGCUUUUUAGCUCCCCUGCUUAUAAGCACAAGAGGACUAUGCGUUUGGUUAGCUGACUUAUGCUCAGCUUAUUCGAAAAGCCACUGCAGCUUCUCUCGAAAAGCAGAAGCUGCCUGACCCCAGCUUUCAGAAGCCAGAAGCCAGCAGCUUACUGUAGCGGUACUUACUGUAGCUAAAUGAAUAUUUCAAAAUGACAGAUUCUAUCCUCCCUUGGGAGAGGCAAUUACGGAUUGCCAUCAAGCCUUCGAGAUGAGAUCAGAGGCCGCACAGCAUUUUCAUCUCUAUCCCAUCUCCACUCUCCCUCUGACGCUGUCGGGCUCUCAUCACAGACGCCGCCUCAGCCUCUCAUCACGAAAACCCCAAGCACAGAGCAAUCGAGCCAAACACCAUCACAUCAUGACCUGAACCCACAUCCUCCCCCAAUUUCAGAUCGGGAAGCCAGCUUUUCUUCAUCCUCUCUUUACUACAGAACGCAUCCUGGUGCUCAAAUGGUGAUGAAGAAGAAGACAAGGAAGUUGGUUGGAAAUACCUUCAUGGUGAUGUUUUCAGACAACCUUCAAACAUACCACUGUUUUGUGCCGUCUUGUUCAAGAUCCAAAGACACCGAUCUGGAAAACCUCGGAAAGGAUGUUAUUCAUCAUUCUUGAAUUAUUGAUAUGGAUUUUGAAAUACCAAAGUUUUGUACAGAUACUUGAUUAGAUUCAAGCAGAUCCUAUUUUUUCAUUAGUCCAUUUGAUCAGAGAGAACUAAUCUGCAUUUUGUGA